AAUACGGAAAAAGUGAGCCGAGGAGACAACGGUGGAGAGCUGGCGAGGCUGCCCGGGGUCGCAGCGGCGGGCGGGUCAGCCGGGGGGCGGGGACCCCGCGCGGGACCCCGGGGUGCGGCGGCGCUGGGCUGGAUGCGCGUGCCGGGGGCCGUGGAUGGCCAUGGAUGGGCCCCGCCGGGCCGCGUAUCUCUCGGGGACCCUGCGGCCAACACUGUCUUUUAGAGCCGGGGAUGGGGGAGUGGAGGGGGCCCUGUUGCCCUAGAGGCCUCGGGACCCUUCCCUUGCCCACCCCCACUCGGGCCGCGGCGGGCAGGAGCAGUCUGCGGAGUUCUGGCCCAUCUGUCACUCUGUCCCGGGACGCUGUGAUCCACGGCGGUGGGGGAGGGGGAAGGGGGAGGGACAAGCAUGGCUCGGGUGAAGUUUUAAACUCUGUUCUUCUCUCUUGCCUUUCUUUGGGGACAUUCUCCCCUUUGGGAUCUGUCCUGGACUUCGCAGGCUGCGAGAACUUGUUGACAAGUGAAAGCUCGGUAGAGCCCCGGCUUGGUUUGUGGUCUGCUUAUUUUUUGCAAAGUGACUGUUCCUGUUUGCGCUGGUCCUUAUCGGUGCCCCUUUGGGGGACUUCGGCACUGAUCAGCGCGCUGACAGCCGCCGUCCGGGCUGCGGGAAAAUGGGGCGCGCCCUCCGGGGGGCGAGUGGCUGUGUCCUUGCUAAUUUCCUCCGUAACCUUUAAACUCUCGCUGGAAGCUACCGCCGCGGCUGGUCACGUGAGGAGAGCCCUGGGCUGCUGGGGAAAAAUUUCCUCGGCUGGGAGCCGGGACCGGGCCGGCGGCCGGCGAGGGACUGCCCCGCGCCCGAGACUGGGAACCUGGGAGGGCAGGGCCGGAGCGCUGGGCCCCGGGGCGCGGCCCAGCUGGGACACCCGCGAAGACGGCGGCGGUGAAGAGGUCGGCUCCGCUGCCGGGGAGCUGGGGAUUAUGCAAAUGGGGAAAGAAAACCUCCGCCCUCGCCCUUCUGCCAAGUCAAGUCUGGGAAUUUGUAGGUAUUGUGGGCAUGUGAUGGAAGGCAGUGGCAAAUAUGGCUUGAUCUUCUGAAAAUGCAUUUGGGAAGCAGAGCCAGCACCAAAGUGAGAUGAGUGAGAUACUUUUCAGAGGCAAAAUGUAAAGGGUACCAAUAAACGUAAUCAAGAUAAAGAUUUAAUACAAUUUUUUAAAAAUAAAAAUGUGAGAAUCCAGAAUGGACACAAUAUCCACAUUUUAAAUAAUUUUAAAUAUUGCACUAAAAUAUUUAUACUACUGAGUUUAUUGGCACCUGUUAAAUUUUGUACCUGAGCCGAGUGCGUCACUCAUCUCACCCUAGUCCUGAUCCUGUUGGGAAGUCUGGAAAGUCAAGGAUUUCAUGGAGUUAGGGAUCCUUGACUAAUUGGUGCUUCAUAUGUUCUCAUUACUUGCUUUGGGUAAGUCUUGUACAGGCAGGAGCCACCAUGCCCAGCCCCCAAAUAUAUUAAAUAGGGUCUGUUACCAUCUCAGUGACUGUCUUAAAACAACCUACAAACUUCCAGCACCAUUUCCUAGCAUGCUGGCUCAGCAGACUGUUACUCCGUGUAAAUCACCAGACUGCAAUUCUCAAGGGCGACCAAUGCUUGUCUCCUUUCCAUUACAGCAACUCUUUUGGAGCAAGGGUAAUAAAAGACUUUGUCAAACAAAAUACAUGUUUUGUAUUGGAUUAAUGUUUACAUAAAAAGGGAGAAUGCUGGUAGUCUGCAUGCAAACACUGCUAGUUUCCUGCCCUUAUUACCUCCUUAUUUCUAAAUAAAUCUCUCGCCUUCCUACUCUCAAACUUGGCCAAAUGAAAAGUUGAAUUCCCCAGGGACAUCAUGGAGAUGCCAG
rnacentral:lncRNA from 1 species